GUUCUGUGGGAGAAACCCUAAGCAGAUAAUCAGCAUUUAUUGUGUCCUCAGUGACUGGUCCAUUCUAUGCCAUAUACAACUGUCUUUACAGAGCUUGCAGUCUGCUGAGGGGAACAUCCAAAACUAUCUGAAGCCCCGGGCUGAACCAGGCUCUGCAGACAUUGGUGGUGUCCUAGAAGGCUCUUGCUGAGGUCUUAUGUCUGAAAAGAAACCCUCGGAAACCCACUUGAGUCUGUCUUGCAUUUCACAUGAAACAAGGCUUCAUUCUGCAAAAAUAUCUGGGACCUUCAAAUUCACAAGUGGAUUUUCUGCUCAGGGGAGAGCUACCAAUCGGUUGAAAGUUCUGUGUAAUUGCUGGGCCGCUGGGUUCUUUGCAUCUGUUCUUGGAGGCCACUGAAGUCACGUCCUGAGUUACCUCUCAUCUGGGCCUUGAUUUGCUUCAUCUUUGGCUGGGCCUCAACAAAUCUCUUCACCUGAAAGGAACUCCUUCAAAUGAACUGGUCGCCAUAUGAAUUGAUGCUACACUUUGAGCGUUGCCGCAGUCAGGUGAAUUCAAGCUACAGAGAAGAGGCGAUUCACAUUUUUUCCUUCUGUCUUGUAUUAUUCCUCCGGCUCAAGAACCUGCCAGAGAUGGAAUCUCCCUAUGUUCCCCAGGCUGAUCUUGAAUU
rnacentral:lncRNA from 1 species